CUGCAGAGGUGCGGUUCUGAGGAGAGAGAGGAUGUCACACUGGGCUGAAGAAACGAGUUCCUAAUAAUAUGGAGGCUGUAAAGUUAGCCAACAGAAUAUGGCAGCAGACGCAAAGGUUGACGUCUCUGCAGAGGAGCGGCGCUCUGUCUGUUCCAUGCUGUGUCCUAGCCAUUCAGUGGUGAACUGGGUGAUGAGAACUGUAUGAUAAUAGGUCCUCAUUGUGACAGGCAGGAGGGGACUGGAGAGGACGAACAAACGCCAGCUGGCAGAGAGAACAACUGAUGAAACCGCUGUGGUGAGCAAAGGUCAAAGGAGAAGCUUGUUCUUAAAGUUAGGAAACAGAAACAACCGUGCGAUCGCUUGCGAAAAUGAGAUGGUUGUUCAGAGGGGUCGGUUUGGAAGUAGAGGUGAAGAACGCCUGGAAAAUGGGGAAGGAUUGGGAUGAUCUGACUUCCAGCAACACGAAACUUUUCCAUAGAACAUGGCUGCAGAGAUGCACCAAGGAAAACAUGAGUGAUGCUGCUUUACAGAGUCACAGGAAGAGAAACACUAGGAUCCACACAGGCAAAGGGCUAUCGAGGGUUUCUACUAUUACUGUAUUUUAAAUGUGUUUAUUUUGUGUAACAGGGGUGUGUGAGUGAGUGAGUGUGUGUGUGUGUGUGUCUGUAAGUGUGUGUAUAUAAGUGUGUGUGUGUCUGUGUAUAUGUGUCUCUGUGUGUGUGUCUAUGUGUGUGUGUCUGUGUCUGUGAGUGUGUGUGUCUGUGUGUGUUCAUGUGCCUCUGUGUGUGUCUGUCUGCCUAUCUGUCUAUGUCUCUGUGUGUGCCUCUGUGUGUGUAUAUGUGUGUGUGUCUGUGUCUCUGUGUGUCUGUGUGUCUGUGUGUGUAUGUGUAUAUGUCUGUUUUUGUGUGUAUAUGUAUCUGUGUAUGUCUAUGUGCAUGUCUGUGAGGAUAUGUGUGUCUAUGAGUGUGUGUGUAUAUCUGUCUGUGUAUCUGUGUGUGUCUGUGUGUGUGUGUCUGUGUGUGUGUCUGUGUGUGCAUGUGUCUGUGUGUGUAUAUAUAUGUGAGUGUGUGUGUAUGUCUGUGGUGUAUCUGUGAGUGUGUGUGUAUGUGUAUGUCUGUGUGUGUCCAUGUGUGUGUCUGUGUCUUGUGGGUGUGUGUAUGUGUGUGUGUGUAUGUGUGUGUAUGUCUGUGUGUAUGUCUGUGUGUAUGUCUGUGUGUAUGUCUGUGUGUAUGUCUGUGUUGGCAUCUGAUUACCAUGGUGAUAGGUGGGAGUCAGAGGACAACUUGAGGAAAUCCAUUUUCUCCUUCUACCAUGUGGGUCACAGGGAUUAACCUCAGAUCAUCAGGCCUGGUGGCAAUUCCUGCACUGAUUAAGGCAUCUCAUUUGCCCCAAUUUUGAAUUUUUAAGUUAUUUUUCAAACUGAGUCUUAGGUGAGAAAAGUUUUAAUAGGAUUUACUUCUGAUGCUUUAUGUAUGUGUGUGUUCUCUCUCUCUCUCUCUCUCUCUCUCUCUCUCUGUGUGUGUGUGUGUGUGUGUGUGUGUGUGUGUGUGUGUGUGUGUGUGUGUGUACAAAUACCUUUGAAGAACAGAAAAGAGUUCCAGACCACUAUGAGCUGACCAUGCUGUCCCUUGUGAGCCGCCCGAUGGAGGCGACAGGUUCUCAACUCCAGUCUCAUGACAGAGCUCAUGGUUGAGCCAGCUCCCCAGCCCUGAAAAGGGCUUUGAUAAAACAAGUAUCAUUUGUUACAGAUUUUAACUGGUUUUUAAUUGUUAUAUUGUCUUCUGGGUUUUCUGCUCUCUUCUUUUGAAACAGAGUCUCAUGUAACCCAGACUGACCUUGAAUACAUCUCAUAAUCAAGGCUGGCCUUGAACACGUGACUAGACCAUCUGCUCUCUUCUGUUGGGAUGGCAGGUUGAGAACCACUGAUCUACAGAGGCGGAAUUUCAUCACAAGGAAUAUCUCCUGGAGCAAAGCUGCUAAGCACACCGCAGCCAGGAGACAGCAAGGCAAAGAGAAGAUUCAGGAAGGUUCUGACAGCCCGUGGAAGGGAGCUCUAGACCGCCAGGCUCCUUCCAGCUUCCAGAAGGACUCAGCAUCUCCCAGUACUGCGAGGCUGAGGACUGAGCCGUCACCACGUGGGCUUCGGGGCUGGUUUUCUGAGCCACUGUGGGCAGUGCUGCGGUGAACACGGAUGAACCACCGCGCUAACACACGUCCACUUGGAGUUCUUCAGGUGUGCUGAGGAAACAACAACAAAAAGAGUCUGAUGAGCUGGGAGACGGUUCAGUGGGUAAUGUACUUGAUGUCCAAACAUGAAGAUCUGAUUUCAAGUCCCCCAAACCCACGUGAAGACCCUGCUAUGGCGGCAGAGCCUGUAACACCAGCACUGACAGCAAAGACACGGAUUCGCAGGCCAGACAGUCCAGGUUCAGUAAGAAACAUUGACUCAAAACCUAAACAAGUAGUGGUGCCCACGAGUGUGUGUAACAAUAGCCAUGUAAAAAGGAGGUCAUGAACUUGAGAGGAAUUAAGGAAAGGAAUUCAGGAGAGGCUAAAGGAGAACAUGGAAGGGAUUGGAGGGAGAGGAGGAAUUAGGGGGAUUCAAAUACUACAGUGAAAGUUAAUAAAGGCAGCAUCACUCCUCAGACUUUUCUAAAUGAAAAACUAGAGGAGGGAGCACUUUCAAACCUGCUUUAUGAAACAAAAUAUGAUGCCACAAAAGGAGAUAAAUUAUGUAUCAAUAUCCUGAUUACCUUGGAUGUAAACUCAACAAAGCAUGCUAGUGUGGGAGACAGGUUUUGUUACAGUACCAAGUGUCCCAGACAAACAACUUAACCAGAGGAAUCAGUUACUAUGUUCUGGUUUAUGGUUUCAACAAUUCCGCCUGUGGUGGCGGGAGCCUGUGGCAGAGGAGACUUCCCUCCCAUGGCUCCCAAGAAACAGAGCAGAUAGGUGACUAUGACCCAGGCAGUUUUCAAAGGCCCCCAGCACCACAUUUUCUCCUGCUGAACCCACCUCCCAAACUGGUUCCACCACCUGGGGGGCACCUUCAACAGAGGAAUGGAUACAGAAAAUGUGGUACAUCUACACAAUGGAGUACUAGUCAGCUAUCAAAAACAAAGACUCCGUGACAUUCAUAAGCAAAUGGACAGAGCUAGAAAAUGUCAUCCUGAGUGAGAUAACCCAACCUCACAAGAACACACAUGGUAUGCACUUACUGAUAAAUGGGUAUUAGCCCAAAAGCUCGAAUUACCCAAGAUACAAUCCACGGACCACAUGAAGUUCAAGAAGAAGGAUAACCGAAGUGUGGAUGCUUCAGUCCUUCUAAAAAGGGGGAACAAAAAUAUUCAUAGGAGGAGAUAUGGGGACAAAGUUUGGAGCAAAGAUUGAAGGAAAGGCCAUUCAGAACCUGCCCCACCUGGGAAUCCAGCAUAUAUAUAUAUAUAUAUAUACAGCCACCAAACCUAGACAACAUUGCUGAAGCCAAGAAGUGCAUGCUGAUAGGAGCCUGAUAUAGCUGUCUCCUGAAAGGCUCUAUCAGAGCCGGACAAAUACAGAGGUGAAUGCUAGCAGCAAACCAUUGAACUGAGAAUGGGGGUCCCCAUUGGAGGAAUUAGAGAAAGGUUUGAAGGAACUGAAGGUGCUUCCAACCCCAUAAGAACAACAAUACCAACCAACCAGAGCUCCCAGGGACUAAACCACUACCUAAAGAGUACACAUGGACAGACCCAUGGCUCCAGCUGCAUAUGUAGCAGAGGAUGACUUUGUUGGACACCAGUGGGAGGAGAAGCCCUUGGUCCUUCUAAGGCUGGACCCCCCCCCCAGUGUAGGGGAAUGUCAGGGCCGGGAGGCGGGAAGCGGGGGUGGUUGGGAGAGGGAACACCCUCAUAGAAGAAGGGGGAAAGGGGUUUGGGAUAGGAGGUUUGUAGAUAGGAAACCGGGAAAGGGAAUAACAUUUGAAAUGUAAAUAAAAGGUAUCCAGUAGAAAAAAGAAAAAAUGUAAUAAUGCAUUAAAAAAAAAGAUCACACACUAUGGGCAAAAAAAAUCUAUCCCUGGGAAAAUAAACACAGUUCUGUAAUUCAUUUCGUAUUGUGUACACAUUAAAGCAAUGAAGGACAGACUGCCAUGUGGUAAUAAUAAUUUAAAUUGAUGUCUGGCUGUUCUCAAUUAAAAGCAGACAGGGCAUUUUUAAAAAUAAGAAAAAUAACUAGGUCACUUUAUACUUAUUGAGAGGUAGUGUCCCUGGAUCUCUGUCUAUGACCAUGAGGCAACAAUCUUAAAGAGAGGAGUGAGAACACUGGAAACAAAGUCUCACUUGUUUAAGAUAUUGUUAAAGAAAAUAAUGGGAAAAUACACCUGCAACCCACCUUAUGCUAAUGUUAAUCUCCAAAGUACACAAGGAAGUUAUAAACAACGGAAGGACUAGUAAGGCGGGCCAGAGGGAUCCUCUGAAGGAGCCUGGUGACCUGAAACAACCCACGAGGUCAUCCUCUGACCCUCACAUUGACAACGUGACAUGUGGACCCCAUGUCGUGCACGCGCCCAUUAAUAAGGAAUGAAAGUUAAAGGUAAUUGCAGCCUAGUAACUAAGUGUAUAGGAGGACUUGGAGGGAAGGAAGGGAGGGGGAAAUAGAUUGCCAUUUCAAAAAACCAGAAAGAGAACUCUGUGAAGAGAGAUGCUGAGAUAUUGGCCUUAGACGGCAGGUAUCUGUUUUUGUUUUUGUUUUUUUUUUUUUUGGUUCUUCUUUUGGGAGCUGGGGACCGAACCCAGGGCCUUGCGCUUCCUAGGCAAGCGCUCUACCACUGAGCUAAAUCCCCAACCCCUCUGGUUAUAUAUUUUAAAUGACAUCAAGUUUUUCCUACUGGAGAUAUGUCCUUGGUGAGGAAGCAGUGAAUCUCCAUAGCCAAGUUGUCCUUCUCUCUCAACUGCCAAGAUGGAAAUCCCCAGGGUGGCCUAGUGGGGAAGAGAUCAAGACUUUAAAACUUCCCAGUGAGCUCCAGGCAUGGUGUGGCCAUGGGUCAAGGCCCUACCUCAAAGGGGCAAACAGACAAAAUCAGAGUAUAAAUCUCCCCAACUUUCUCAGCAAAGGAAACAGCGAUCUCACCCCUCCCACUGAAAGUGUAGACAAAGGACUCGAAGAGUCAGUUCUUUAAAGGAGACACACCGACAGCUAAAGGAAGAUGAGGGUAAAGAGACAAACGCGACCACGGCUGUGAAGAAUUUGCAGUGCUUUUGUGGGUUUUUUGGGGGUUUUUUUUGUUUUUUUGGUUUUUUUUGGUUUUUUUGGGUUUUUUGUUUGUUUGUUUUGUUUUUUGUUUUUUUGGGGGGGUUGGGUUUUUUUUUGUUUUUUGUUUUUUGUUUUGUUUGUUUGUUUGUUUUUUGGAGCUGGGGACCAAACCCAGGGCCUUGCGCUUGCUAGGCAAGUACUCUACCGCUGAGCUAAAUCCCCAACCCCACUUUUGUGGUUUUGCCAAGAAGGUGGUAUGGUACAGCCAUGGUGGAAUACUGUGAGCGACUUCUUUGAAAACUUCAAGGCAAAUUGCUGUGUGGCCCUGCUUUGGGAGGGUGGAGGGGAUUUAGCCAAAGGAAUUAAAGUUAAGGUCUGAAAGCCUAUUAGUGUCAUUCCUGUGCUCCUGAGGCCUGUUACCUAUGCCAGCAUGUAUGAAUCUUAAUGACAUGGCAGCAGGUGAACCAAGCCAGUGAGGGGAGAAAUACUACAAUUAUACCUGUUAGGUAAUAAAAAUGGUGAAGAUCAGAUACUGGCUCUGGAGACAUCAAAACUGGCCCGAUGCACACAUGGUUGUCAUGACUCUGGCCGAGGAUGGCAUGCAAAUUCCCGAAGUGCUCAUGUAUGUUAUACAUGCAUUAUAGACAUAUAGAGAAAACACAUAUAUUUAUGUAUGUGCAUAUAUAUACAUAUAUAAAUAUAAUUUGGACAGGAAGUCUAAACUUUGUACAUAUAUACAUAUGCAUAUAUAUAAUUUAUGUAUAAUGUGGACAGGGAGUCUAAGCCUCCUCUCUUCCCUUCACUGAUGUACUGUUAUGAAGUCAGGGUUAGAACCUAUGCUAGCUCACUAAGUGCUUGAAAUGCUGUAUUUCUAGUUCUUUGCUUUUUUUAUAUUUUAUUUAUAUUUCAUCUAUAUGCUUAUUUAUUUCAUACAUGGUUACACAAUUCACAUAUGCUUACAUAUUUCAUAUAUAUUUAUAUUUUCUCAUGUGUGUACAUAUAUAUUAUAUAUACAAGUGUUCUGUAUAUGAAAGAGAAGUGAGGGCGAUUUGAAGGGAAGAGGAGGACGGGGGUUAGGAAAGAGGACAAAGUGAGGAGUGGAACGAGUGCUACGGAGCUAAGAUGACAUUUUUGGAUGACCGUGUCCUAGGAAUCACUUCAUCUGUGAAUGUUGAAAAAGGAGAUGAACAGCAAGGACAAAUAGUUACACUCCAAAUGACAGAGCAGGGUGGCAGGGGCAAUAGGCGAUGGGUUUACAAACUCACAAGUCCUGAGAUCUGUCUGAGAACAGAAUCCCUAACUCAUUCAUUAACUUAUAAAGAAUACAAUGUAGUAAAGGGUAGGUGUCCCAUAUGUAGUGAUGUAGCAUUAUGUAUGUGUGUUUGCAUACAUUUGUGUGUGUGUGUGUGUGUGCCUCUACACACAUAUAUAACAUAAUAUUAAAUUUUUUUUAAUCUAGAGAAUACUUUAUUAGUUUUUGUAAUCAAACCCACGUAUAUAAGACCUUACAUAUUUCAUACAGUGUGUUACCCCUGUACAAAUGGAAAAAACUUAAGUUCAACAUUUCUAGACCAAUAUGGCUGUUAAUUUCUGUACAGUGCCAACUCAACACAGUAAACGGGGAUACUUUUUUCGAAAGUUGACAGCACAGGUAAAGUUUCAAAAAAUUCAAAUUAUAUAUCUGUAUAUAUAUAUUUAUAUUUAUAUGAAAAGACCAAUAAUAGCAGUGUGUUAUGCAUCAACAGCAGCAACAGCUUUUCCAGGUUCUGCAGUCAUCUGAACAAAACUGUAGAGACAUCCAGCACACUCCAUUAAAAAAAAAAAGUAAAAAAACAAAACCCGAGAAAACAGCACAGUUCUGAUACUCUUGUGGUACCUGGCACCAUUUUUUUUUUAAAUUAGCUUCUCAAUCAUCAUCUGGAAAGAAAACAUUCUGAGCAACAUCAUUAAAAACAGCUCUGAUAAAGCACGAUCACUACUACAUAUCAUAAAGCAGGUACAAGCUAUUUUACAUCCACAGAGGUAUGAUACAGUACUGUCCUACAUCUAUAAUACUAGAGGAUACAAUUUAAAAGGCAUUAUUUGAGACUUGAUUCUACUUUUCCAGCAGAGGGCCCAAAGGAUGGUGUGACACAGCUUUGUAAAGAAACAUACUCUAGACAGGAUUUCCUUUCACUAGUGGCACAGUUCUAAGGAUUCAUUCUCUCCAUGAAUGUCAGCUAAAACCGUUAUUAAAAAAAUGAAAUAUCCCUAGAACAAAACCGUAUAACCACCGGAUUCACAUGAAGAUGACCUAGUGGAGACAAGCUGGACCUCACCUUACCAACAAGCUAUCAAAUCUGUUAUGUUUAAACAGUGAGACCUCCAAGGAAGGAGAUGCCAAGUAGUGCUUCAAAGCUUCGGACCACAAUCAAACACAGCAUCCUUUUCAACAGAAGCAGAAGCUCAUCUGAAUAUGCUCAUGGAUGCUGACAUCAACAUUUAAUCAUCUCCUCACUCAUCCAGGAAGAGGGGGAGAUCAGUUACUACUGUACUUUAUGUGUUCAACCAAAUCACCAUGUUACAAAAAUAGCAAGCUGCCAUAAUAAAAAAUAAGGCUCCUCUAUCCAGCACCAGAUAGCAUCAUUUUACUUUCAAGCCUAGAAAUUGCACACUUGUAUAUAAACCAAUCUAAGAUGAGGAUUGAGAGUUCAUCUUGGUGGAUUUUUCCUUUGAUGAAUAUGAAGUGUCCUUCCUUAUCUUUUUUGAUGACUUUUAAUUGAAAAUUGAUUUUAUUUGAUAUUAGAAUGGCUACUCCAGCUUGCUUCUUCUGACCAUUUGCUUGGAAAGUUGUUUUCCAGCCUUUCACUCUGAGGUAGUGUCUGUCUUUGUCUCUGAGGUGUGUUUCCUGUAGGCAGCAGAAUGCAGGGUCCUCGUUGCGUAUCCAGUUUGUUAAUCUAUGUCUUUUUACUGGGGAGUUGAGGCCAUUGAUGUUGAGAGAUAUUAAGGAAUAGUGAUUAUUGCUUCCUGUUAUAUUCAUAUUUGGAUGUGAGGUUAUGUUUGUGUGCUUUCAUUCUCUUUGUUUUGUUGCCAAGACGAUUAGUUUCUUGCUUCUUCUAGGGUAUAGCUUGCCUCCUUAUGUUGGGCUUUACCCUUUAUUAUCCUUUGUAGUACUGGAUUUGUAGAAAGAUAUUGUGUAAAUUUGGUUUUGUCAUGGAAUAUCUUGGUUUCUCCAUCUAUGUUAAUUGAGAGUUUUGCAGGAUACAGUAACCUGGGCUGGCAUUUGUGUUCUCUUAGGGUCUGUAUGACAUCUGCCCAGGAUCUUCUGGCCUUCAUAGUUUCUGGCGAAAAGUCUGGUGUGAUUCUGAUAGGUCUGCCUUUAUAUGUUACUUGACCUUUUUCCCUUACUGCUUUUAAUAUUCUUUAUUUUGUGCGUUUGGUGUUUUGACAAUUAUGUGACGGGAGGUGUUUCUUUUCUGGUCCAAUCUAUUUGGAGUUCUGUAGGCUUCUUGUAUGCCUAUGGGUAUCUCUUUUUUUAGGUUAGGGAAGUUUUCUUCUAUGAUUUUGUUGAAGAUAUUUACUGGUCCU